rnacentral:rRNA from 1 species
GACGAACGCUGGCGGGAUGCCUUACCCAUGCAAGUCGAACGGAGUUGCGAACGGGUGAGUAAUGUAUCGGAACGUGCCCAGUACCGGGGGAUAACUACGCGAAAGCGUAGCUAAUACCGCAUACUAUUUGCUCGGCCGAUAUCGGAUUAGCUAUUUGGUGGGGUAACGGCUCAGCAAGGCGACGAUCCGUAGCUGGUGUGAGAGGACGACCAGCCACACUGGGACUGAGACACGGCCCAUACUCCUACGGGGGGCAGCAGGGGGGAAUUUUGGACAAUGGGGGAAACCCUGAUGCAGCCAUCCCGGGUGUGCGAUGAAGGGCUUCGGGUUGUAAAGCACUUUUGGCAGGAAAGCGGUACCUGCAGAAUAAGCACCGGCUAACUACGUGCCAGCAGCCGCGGUAAUAC